CCUACGGGCGGCUGCAGUGGGGAAUAUUGGACAAUGGGCGAAAGCCUGAUCCAGCCAUGCCGCGUGUGUGAAGAAGGCCUUCGGGUUGUAAAGCACUUUCAGUGGGGAAGAAAGCCUUGGGGCUAAUACCCUCGAGGAAGGACAUCACCCACAGAAGAAGCACCGGCUAACUCCGUGCCAGCAGCCGCGGUAAUACGGAGGGUGCGAGCGUUAAUCGGAAUUACUGGGCGUAAAGCGCGCGUAGGUGGUCUGAUAAGCCGGUUGUGAAAGCCCCGGGCUCAACCUGGGAACGGCAUCCGGAACUGUCAGGCUAGAGUGCAGGAGAGGAAGGUAGAAUUCCCGGUGUAGCGGUGAAAUGCGUAGAGAUCGGGAGGAAUACCAGUGGCGAAGGCGGCCUUCUGGACUGACACUGACGCUGAGGUGCGAAAGCGUGGGUAGCAAACAGGAUUAGAUACCCUAGUAGUC
rnacentral:rRNA from 1 species